rnacentral:rRNA from 1 species
UAUGUGAUCGUCUCUCGCAUAUCAAUAAGCGGAGGAAAAGAAACUAACAAGGAUUCCCCUAGUAACGGCGAGUGAAGCGGGAAGAGCUCAAAUUUGAAAUCUUAAAGGGUUUCCCUUUACGAAUUGUAGUUUAAAGAAGUGUUUUCUGUUGAGGUUUUGGUAAAAGUUCUUUGGAAUAGGACAUCAUAGAGGGUGAGAAUCCCGUAUUUGACCUUUACUUUCAACUUUGUGAUACACUCUCAAAGAGUCGGAUUGUUUGGGAAUGCAGUCCAAAAUGGGUGGUAAAUUUCAUCUAAAGCUAAAUAUUGGCGAGAGACCGAUAGCGAACAAGUACCGUGAGGGAAAGAUGAAAAGAACUUUGAAAAGAGAGUUAAACAGUACGUGAAAUUGUCAAAAGGGAAGCGUUUGACACCAGUGUUGUUUUUCUGAAAAUCAAUUAAAGAACUGUUUAUGCUAAGUUGUUUAGACUUUAUCAGCUAAUCUGUUUAGUUUUGAGCUUUUCUUUAAUGCACUUUUCAGUUAACAAGUCAACAUCAAUUUCUUUUGCUGUAAAAAAGCUUGAGGAAGGUGGCUUGAGAUUCGUCUUAAGUGUUUAUAGCCUCUUGCCUAUGCAGUCGGAGAGAUUGAGGUCUGCAGCGUAGAUCCUUCGGGGCUAAAUGCAUUUGUGCUAAGUUAUAGCAUUUUAUAGACAACUUGUUGACUAUGAUUUGUCUUGUAGCUUACUCGCUUAUGUUAUUUUACCUACGCUUAGGAUGUUGAAGUCAUCGUAUCGCGC